rnacentral:lncRNA from 1 species
AGUUCCCAGAAUUCUGACACGGAGGCAUGUGCCUAUGAGAUCUUCUUUUCAGGCCUCCAUCCUUCCUGGCCCACCUUCAGUACUGAGGAAUUACAGCAGAAAACAUGAAGAAUUGGUGCUUGCUGACUUGCCUGGGAUUGUAAGUUGUAUCCUGGUACUCUGAGCCUCAUGGAUUUGGGAAGGGAAAUUCUCCCUCAAUGGAACGACUUCCAUCCAAGACUGUUCUGCUCUUCAUCUCCAGAAAGAAGCAAAGGACCUCAAAUCUCAGCAUGUACACCAGUAGGAUCAGGCUGAACAGAUUCAAGCAUUGUGUUUCAGUCCUCAGAGCCACCAUACAAGGUACAGUCUGUUUUUUGAACAAAUGGCACAAUUGAGUCAUGGUGAAGUCAACCUUGUGGAUAAGAAGAAGGAUUAACUCUGGCCCUUGGUAGAGCACUGAUCUCGUAUGAUCAAGGCCCUGGAUCUAACUAUGGGAAAUGAAAAAGAAAUUUCAAACAUAAAGACACACACAAACAAUUUAGAACUACCAAUGCAGGUACUUUCAACUUCCCUGUACCUUCCUGAAAUGUUUCAAAUGUAAUAUUGAAACUGAAUAUUUGUGGUGUCUUGAGUUCAAACAUUCAUUCAUUGAUUUACGUUUCUGAGGAAUGAUGGGUACUCAUCUAGUCUCAGUCCAUUUAAGAUUCACAAACAUUGUCCCAGACAAUGAGACCCAUCUUUCUUCAGCAUAGAGAAGAUGAAUCACUAGACUAUGCAUGUAGCAGUAAAGGGGCUUGAUACAUCCAAACUUUGGCUCAGACCCUCUGGCCAGGCCCACUUGGAUAAUGUGCCUGCUUUUGCACAGUUGUCAGUCUUAUCAGCAAGUGUCCUGUGAGCAAAAAAACCAAGAAGACUCCUCCAGUAAGAGUAAAAGAUGCUUGUGACUGUCUGCAGUUAAGGUAGUAGAGUUCUCAUAACUUGGGCCUUCAUUUCUCCAGGCCCAGCUGUCCCCUGGCUUUGGCAGUGGCAUAUUGAUGGGACUGUCUGUUCUAGAAAACACAUGCUGGGAUGUUAGAAAGGAUGAGCUCUCAGCUUCCAUAGUGAUAUCUCUUUUGGAGCCCUUACUUGAGGGCCUAGUACCAAAUCAGGCCAUAUUCACAGAUGGUUCUUUCUUUCCCACCACUGAUAAUCAGGCCUUUCUUUAUUUUAUUCAUAUUACUGUUGUUGAUAGAGUCUCAUGUUUCCCAGGCAGGCACAGAGUCAUGAUCCUUCUGCCCUAUGUCCAUGGUGUUGAAAUAAGAGGCUUGUCACCAC